GGGUGAUUAGCUCAGCUGGGAGAGCGUCUCCCUUACAAGGAGAGGGUCGGCGGUUCGAUCCCGUCAUCACCCA
rnacentral:tRNA from 1 species